rnacentral:SRP_RNA from 1 species
AGCGGGUUCCCUCGCAAUGAUAGGCAGUGAACUCCGCCAGGCCCGGAAGGGAGCAACGGUAAUUGCUGA